GGCAGGGAACUGGACGGAGGGGCUGGCGUGACCUUAACUUCAGCAACCUUAACUUCAGCAGAGCUGGUCAGAGCCCCACAGAUGUUUUCCAGUCAUUUGGGUGCACAUCUGGCUGAGCCCAUUCCUCUAAUGGCCGAGGACUUUCACAAAGUGAAGUGACAGACAGCAUUCUACUCCAGUGGACUAAAGUGUGGAGAUGUGAAGUAAUCUCCUCCACCUAAUGCAGCUGAGCACAGUCUGGUAUUACAAGCAAUUACUUAGCCCAAGAGAAUGAAUU